rnacentral:rRNA from 1 species
UACGAGGGGUGCAAGCGUUGCUCGGAAUUAUUGGGCGUAAAGGGUAGGUAGGUGGUCUCAUUUGUCUGGGGUGAAAGCCUUGGGCUUAACCCAAGAAGUGCCCCGGAAACGGUGAGACUAGAGUCCUGGAGAGGGUCGUGGAAUUCCCGGUGUAGCGGUGAAAUGCGUAGAGAUCGGGAGGAACACCAGAGGCGAAGGCGGCGACCUGGACAGGAACUGACACUCAACUACGAAAGCGUGGGGAGCAAACAGG